AAGGAUCAUUAAUGAGUUGUGANGGGGUUUGAUGCUGGCAGCCAAUUUUUGGAUGCAUGUGCUUGCCCUAACAAUCAUCUUCCAAACACCUGUGCACAUUUUUGAGGGAGUUUCGAGUUUUAUUGCCGUUUUUGGUGAUUUUCUUGCAUUCCCUUAAAUUAUUAUACGCUGUUAACAAUGAUGAACGUGCUCUGUGCCGCAAGGCCAUUAAUAUAAUACAACUUUUAACAACGGAUCUCUUGGCUCUCGCAUCGAUGAAGAACGCAGCGAAAUGCGAUAAGUAAUGUGAAUUGCAGAAUUCAGUGAAUCAUCGAAUCUUUGAACGCACCUUGCGCUCCCUGGUAUUCCGGGGAGCACGCCUGUUCGAGUGUCGCGAAAUUUCUCAAGCUUGGAUGGCUUUUUUGUCUGUCCUUAGCCUUGGUUGUUGGGCUUUGCCGUGUCCUUUGUUGGGACGGCUGGCCUUAAAAGCAUUAGCUGAUCCUCGUGUGGCACUGGUUCUACUCAGCGUGAUAACAGUCUGAUCGCUGAGGACAUCUUUUGGGAUGGCCAGUUCUCAUUUGGGUUGCUUCCAAACUUGGUUUUGCAGAUUCUUCAAUCUGUGUUCCACUUUUCAGCUUUGACCUCGAAUCAGGUGGGACUACCCGCUGAACUUAA
rnacentral:rRNA from 1 species